rnacentral:lncRNA from 1 species
UUCACGUUUAACUGCAGUGCCUGAAGAUAAAUCCUGUGAACUGACGGGAAAUACAGUCACAGUGUCCAAUAAAGAUAUCCCUGGGGCAGAGGUCCAGGCUUACAACGAUGAAAUCCCCAUUAAGUUAGGUCAACUUGACGGUGAUCGCAUUGGCUCCCUUGCCAAUGUCCUUACUGAACCACUGCAACAUGAAGAUUCUUGUUCUGGGGAUUCGAGAAGACUGACCAAUAGUAGUAAGUUGUUGCUACUGAAAGAAAACAUAGCCAGGGAGCUUGAAAAGACUGAGCUUGAGAUUGAUUCUGUGGUCGGCAUGUGCGUCCAAUAUCUCCUGUCAUCGAUGGCAGUUAUGACCAG